rnacentral:rRNA from 1 species
CUUACACAUGCAGUCGAGCGGAGUGAUGGUGCUUGCACUAUCACUUAGCGGCGGACGGGUGAGUAAUGCUUAGGAAUCUGCCUAUUGGUGGGGGACAACAUUUCGAAAGGAAUGCUAAUACCGCAUACGCCCUACGGGGGAAAGCAGGGGACCUUCGGGCCUUGCGCUAAUAGAUGAGCCUAAGUCAGAUUAGCUAGUUGGUGGGGUAAAGGCCUACCAAGGCGACGAUCUGUAGCGGGUCUGAGAGGAUGAUCCGCCACACUGGGACUGAGACACGGCCCAGACUCCUACGGGAGGCAGCAGUGGGGAAUAUUGGACAAUGGGGGAAACCCUGAUCCAGCCAUGCCGCGUGUGUGAAGAAGGCCUUUUGGUUGUAAAGCACUUUAAGCGAGGAGGAGGCUACUUAGAUUAAUACUCUAGGAUAGUGGACGUUACUCGCAGAAUAAGCACCGGCUAACUCUGUGCCAGCAGCCGCGGUAAUACAGAGGGUGCGAGCGUUAAUCGGAUUUACUGGGCGUAAAGCGUGCGUAGGUGGUCUUUUAAGUCGGAUGUGAAAUCCCUGAGCUUAACUUAGGAAUUGCAUUCGAUACUGGGAGACUAGAGUAUGGGAGAGGAUGGUAGAAUUCCAGGUGUAGCGGUGAAAUGCGUAGAGAUCUGGAGGAAUACCGAUGGCGAAAGCAGCCAUCUGGCCUAAUACUGACACUGAGGCACGAAAGCAUGGGGAGCAAACAGGAUUAGAUACCCUGGUAGUCCAUGCCGUAAACGAUGUCUACUAGCCGUUGGGGUCUUUGAGACUUUAGUGGCGUAGCUAACGCG